UACAGAGGGGGCAAGCGUUGUUCGGAAUUACUGGGCGUAAAGGGCGCGUAGGCGGCCAACUAAGUCAGACGUGAAAUCCCUCGGCUUAACCGGGGAACUGCGUCUGAUACUGGAUGGCUUGAGGUUGGGAGAGGGAUGCGGAAUUCCAGGUGUAGCGGUGAAAUGCGUAGAUAUCUGGAGGAACACCGGUGGCGAAGGCGGCAUCCUGGACCAAUUCUGACGCUGAGGAGCGAAAGCCAGGGGAGCAAACGGG
rnacentral:rRNA from 1 species